GAUGAAGAACGCAGCGAAAUGCGAUAAGUAAUGUGAAUUGCAGAAUCCAGUGAAUCAUCGACUCUUUGAACGCACAUUGCGCCCGCCAGCAUUCUGGCGGGCAUGCCUGUUCGAGCGUCAUUUCAACCCUCGACCUCCCCUUGGGGAGGUCGGCGUUGGGGACCGGCAGCACACCGCCGGCCCUGAAAUGGAGUGGCGGCCCGUCUGCGGCGACCUCUGCGUAGUAAUACAGCUCGCACCGGAACCCCGACGCGGCCACGCCGUAAAACACCCAACUUCUGAACGUUGACCUCGAAUCAGGUAGGACUACCCGCUGAACUUAAGCAUAUCAAUAAGCGGAGGA
rnacentral:misc_RNA from 1 species